rnacentral:rRNA from 1 species
ACGAACGCUGGCGGCGUGCCUAAUACCUGCAAGUUGAGCGCUGAAGGUUGGUACUUGUACCAACUGGAUGAGCAGCGAACGGGUGAGUAACGCGUGGGGAAUCUGCCUUUGAGCGGGGGACAACAUUUGGAAACGAAUGCUAAUACCGCAUAAAAACUUUAAACACAAGUUUUAAGUUUGAAAGAUGCGAUUGCAUCACUCAAAGAUGAUCCCGCGUUGUAUUAGCUAGUUGGUGAGGUAAAGGCUCACCAAGGCGAUGAUACAUAGCCGACCUGAGAGGGUGAUCGGCCACAUUGGGACUGAGACACGGCCCAAACUCCUACGGGAGGCAGCAGUAGGGAAUCUUCGGCAAUGGACGAAAGUCUGACCGAGCAACGCCGCGUGAGUGAAGAAGGUUUUCGGAUCGUAAAACUCUGUUGGUAGAGAAGAACGUUGGUGAGAGUGGAAAGCUCAUCAAGUGACGGUAACUACCCAGAAAGGGACGGCUAACUACGU